AUGAUGUCACAGACCCAGGUCCUCAUGUCCCUGUUGCUCUGGGUCUCUGGUGCCUGUGGGGACAUCGUGAUGACCCAGUCACCAGGCUCCCUGGCUGCAUCUGCAGGACAGAGGGUCACUAUGACCUGUAAGUCCAGUCAGAACAUUGGUAAAAAUAUAGCCUGGCACCAGCAGGAACCAGGACAGCCUCCUAGACUGCUGAUCUAUGCAGCCUCUAGCCAGGAGUCUGGGGUCCCUGACUGCUUCAGUGGCAGUGGGUCUGGCACAGAUUUCACUCUCACCAUCAGCAGCCUCCAGGCUGAAGAUGUGGCAGAUUACUACUGUCAGCAGGGUUAUAGCUCUGCACCCACAGUGAUUCAGUCUUAA